rnacentral:rRNA from 1 species
GAUGAACGCUGGCGGCGUGCCUAAUACAUGCAAGUCGAGCGAACGGACGAUAAGCUUUCUUCUCUGAUGUUAGCGGCGGACGGGUGAGUAACACGUGGAUAACCUACCUAUAAGACUGGGAUAACUUCGGGAAACCGUAGCUAAUACCGGAUAAUAUUUUGAACCGCAUGGUUCAAUAGUUAAAUACGGUCUUGCUGUCACUUAUAGAUGGAUCCGCUCUGCAUUAGCUAGUUGGUAAGGUAACGGCUUACCAAGGCAACGAUGCAUAGCCGACCUGAGAGGGUGAUAGGCCACACUGGAACUGAGACACGGUCAAGACUCCUACGGGAGGCAGCAGUAGGGAAUCUUCCGCAAUGGGCGAAAGCCUGACGGAGCAACGCCGCGUGAGUGAUGAAGGUCCUCGGAUCGUAAAACUCUGUUAUUAGGGAAGAACAUAUGUGUAAGUAAAUGUGCACAUCUUGACGGUACCUAAUCAGAAAGCAACGGCUAACUACGUG